UACGAAGGGGGCUAGCGUUGCUCGGAAUUACUGGGCGUAAAGCGUGCGCAGGCGGUGAUGUAAGCCAGGUGUGAAAUCCCCGGGCUUAACCUGGGAACUGCAUUUGUGACUGCAUCGCUGGAGUGCGGCAGAGGGGGAUGGAAUUCCGCGUGUAGCAGUGAAAUGCGUAGAUAUGCGGAGGAACACCGAUGGCGAAGGCAAUCCCCUGGGCCUGCACUGACGCUCAUGCACGAAAGCGUGGGGAGCAAACAGG
rnacentral:rRNA from 1 species